rnacentral:rRNA from 1 species
AGAGUUUGAUCCUGGCUCAGGACGAACGCUGGCGGCGUGCCUAACACAUGCAAGUCGAGCGAUGAAGCCCUUCGGGGUGGAUUAGCGGCGGACGGGUGAGUAACACGUGGGUAACCUGCCUCAAAGAGGGGGAUAGCCUCCCGAAAGGGAGAUUAAUACCGCAUAACAUUAGUUUUUCGCAUGAAGAACUAAUUAAAGGAGUAAUCCGCUUUGAGAUGGACCCGCGGCGCAUUAGCUAGUUGGUGAGGUAAAGGCUCACCAAGGCGACGAUGCGUAGCCGACCUGAGAGGGUGAUCGGCCACAUUGGAACUGAGACACGGUCCAGACUCCUACGGGAGGCAGCAGUGGGGAAUAUUGCACAAUGGGCGAAAGCCUGAUGCAGCAACGCCGCGUGAGUGAUGAAGGCCUUCGGGUUGUAAAGCUCUGUCUUUUGGGACGAUAAUGACGGUACCAAAGGAGGAAGCCACGGCUAACUACGUGCCAGCAGCCGCGGUAAUACGUAGGUGGCGAGCGUUGUCCGGAUUUACUGGGCGUAAAGGAUGCGUAGGCGGAUAUUUAAGUGAGAUGUGAAAUACCCGAGCUUAACUUGGGUGCUGCAUUUCAAACUGGAUAUCUAGAGUGCGGGAGAGGAGAAUGGAAUUCCUAGUGUAGCGGUGAAAUGCGUAGAGAUUAGGAAGAACACCAGUGGCGAAGGCGAUUCUCUGGACCGUAACUGACGCUGAGGCAUGAAAGCGUGGGUAGCAAACAGGAUUAGAUACCCUGGUAGUCCACGCCGUAAACGAUGAGUACUAGGUGUAGGAGGGUCCACCUUCUGUGCCGCAGUUAACACAAUAAGUACUCCGCCUGGGAAGUACGAUCGCAAGAUUAAA